ACGUAGGGAGCAAGCGUUGUUCGGAUUUACUGGGCGUAAAGGGCGCGUAGGCGGCAAAUCAAGUCAGCUGUGAAAUCUCCGGGCUCAACCCGGAACGGUCAACUGAUACUGCGGGGCUAGAGUGCAGAAGGGGCAACUGGAAUUCUCGGUGUAGCGGUGAAGUGCGUAGAUAUCGAGAGGAACACCUGCGGCGAAGGCGGGUUGCUGGGCUGACACUGACGCUGACAGCGCGAAAGCUAGGGGAGCGAACGGGA
rnacentral:rRNA from 1 species